ACGGUCAACCGUUGGAACAAGAUAAACGGCACGCCCAAUCUAGUGAGGAUUUUGGACACGGGGACUCCGACUGGGACCCCACCUAAAACCCGAUCUGCGUUGCCGCCUCGGCGGGGCCUCGCUGUCUUACUGAGCACAUUGCAGAAAUUAAGAGAACGUCUAUGACUUGUCCCAGGGGUCACAGUCACAGAUUGCAGAACUGGAACUUGAGCCCAGGUCAACUACCAGAAAAUUCCUGCUUGGGCCAUGCGCAUGUUUUCCAACCUUGUUUACUGGAGGACCUUCUUUCUGCAUCACUGUGGCUACAUGGACGGGGCUAAGCAAACCAAGAGAGUCGUUUCUGUGCAGCACUGACAUUCCCAGGGGCACCACCUGCCCACCCACCCUGAGCAUCCCUCUGCUCAGCCUGCUGGAGCCAGGCUUUCCAGGUCAUGCAGUCUUGGACAGGUCAAGUGGGGCAAAGGCAAUGCCAAGGAAGAUGCUGUGUCCCUUCUGACAGUUGGAGAAGUGGCCAUGAGACCUCUGCUGGGGAAGCCUGACUGCAGUCUCCCAUUGCCUGGUGCCCUGGACAGGAACCUGCCUGGCUGGCCACAUCUUUUGUAACCCACCUGGUUGCCCCUUCUCUUAAACCCAACCGGCUGUUUUACUUUUCUGCUUUUAGAGCUGAAAUGCAUGUGCAUGUUUAUUCCAUUGUUGCAUUUGUAGUCUCUGGGUUGGCCAUUUGGGCAGUUGUCUCUACUCUAUGUGAGGCAGGGCACUUUCCUUGAUUUUUUGAAUUUUUGCCCUUUGUCAUUUUGAGAGAUCACCUAUUGUGCUGAUUCUGGGAUUCCAGGGUCACUUUAUUUUGUGGUCCCAAAUAUGUUUGGUCUUCUGCCUUCCCUACAUUCCAGCCCUUCUGCACCCAGCCUCCACCCCGCUGCGUUUUCUUUUUUAACUCUGGUCCCAAACAUUUGUAUAGUUUGGCUGCUUAACCUAACCACAUCUCAUUCCAUAUGUCUUUUCUCUGUACCCUCAGUUCAUUAAUCAACAAUACUGAUUAUUAAUUACAUUGAUAGACCAUCUUUACUGACUGUAAACACUAAAGUUGUUUUCUCCAUAGAGGGAUGUAUUGUAUUUGAACUAUUCAUCAUUCAAGAAAAAUCCUUGUUUGUGAAGUGAGCUUUUUUAUGAUAGGGGAAAAUUAAUGAGACUGUAAAAACAAUUAUUUUUUCUCUUUUUUUUUGGAGAUAUGUUAAGUUUUGCAGCCUGGAAAGUGACUUAAAUAUAAUAAACUGCCUUGCUGCUGCUGGUCAUCUAGGCAGUCUCAGGUUCUGAAGGGGAGAAGGCAAAGGCAUUGGGGUUCACUGUUAACCACCCUCUGGAUGCUCUGGGAUUUUUCAGUAUUCUGGAUGAAGACUCUCAUUGGCUGAUACCUGGGAAAUCAGUAUUUUUUUUUUUAGCAUUUGGUACUGUUGGCCACCCCCUGGAUGAUCUGGGAUGUUGAGCAUUGACAUUCCUUCUAGGAUUGUGGAAUAGAGUCCCAUCCUAGGGUAAUCAUGGUCUUUCCUUUUAUAUUGUGCCCUAAAGUUAUCAUUUUCUCAAAAGCAUUUUCUUUGCUUAAUGUCACUUAACACUUUGGUACAGGAGAUGAGAAUUUGCAGGGGAAAAUAACUGGGCUCUUGCUACACUGAGAAAACUUUUGUGUCUAGUAGAGAUCCUUGUUAGACAAUGGCACAUCUUUGUUGAUAUAUGUGUAUACAUGUCUAGAUGUGUUUAUGUGUAUGUACAUUUAUUAUGUUAUAUAUUGUGUGUAUGGAGUGCCAAACUGGCUUAUUAACAAAAGAGCACUCAUAAGUUCAAUAAAUAAGUCUAAGCAUUUUUCAAGUUCAUGUCACUUAAGUUCACUAAAAUUUAGGGUUACUAAAAAUUUGUAUGCAAUUCUGUAAAUAAAAUGUGCCAAAGAAGAUAUCCUCUUAUUGAAAAAAAAUUUGACCAAUUCAAACUUAUUUAAAGUGGGGGUUUUAAAUGUGGAUUUAGGAAGAUGAUGUGAAGACAGUUAUAAAUAUGAGGACGUAUUUUUGGUAAUAAAAGAAAUUUUAUGUGAGAAAGAAUCUUACAUAGUAUGGUCUUGUCCUAAAAUAGAAUGAUUGAUUAUUUAGGAAAGAGGGAAAUAUAGGCCAAAGUCCAAGCAUCUUAUAGAUGGUCUGUGUAAGUCAUGAUAAGGUUCAUAAAAGGAAAUUUAUUAACAAUUUUGUAAAUAAAUUAACCAUAACUGAAAGAAAAUUUAUUUAUAAUUGUCUAUGUAAAUGUUGGUUCCCUGUAUUUAAAAAGUUGUUUCUUGUAAGUAUAAGUUUGCUUUCAGUAAAAUUGCCAGAAAUACUGACUUUUAAUUAUAAAAUCUAUUUCAAGACUUCUCAUACAUAGAUAUCUGUUCCUUUCCCCUUGAAAGGUUACAUCUUUUGCAAGCUCAAAGAUGACUACUGUAGAUUCCUCCUGGGAAAAACAAUAUGGUGCUCACUUCAUGCUGUAAUUGAGUAAGGCUUUGAUCCUCCAUGGUGAUGGCUUAGGGAAUGAGUUUCUGGUUUGAUACUUGUGGGACUUCUGCCAUUUAUUUAUUCUUUUUCCUCCCAUGGCCAGCUUAUUGCAAGGGUAUUCCCUCAAGGAUGGUGGGCAACCCAAAACCGAUUAGCUUGAUUAACCAAGUCUAAUUUCCUGACUGCAAUUUUCUUUGAGCUACUAUAGGGAUGAUUCUAGAUCCUAUAAAAAAUCACUCACCAUCUCUUUGGAGGAAACUUAUGUGUCCAUGAUUAAGUUGUAACCUUAGUAAAGGUUUAUUGGUUUCACUUGAGAAAAUACCUUUGCAGGAAGAAAAAGGUUUAAAAGCUAGAGGUUUCAGCUCUGUCCUGGAUUGAGUCUGGUAUUAAGAUAUUUAAAAUAAUUUUUUAAAAAGAACUCUAUGGUUAAAAGUCAACUUAAUUAAAAAUGAAGAUCCAAGCUAUGUAUAUUUAUUUAUUUAUUUAUUUAUUUAAUUUUUUUGAGACAGAGUCUCACUCUGUCACCAGGCACCAGGCUGGAGUGCAGUGGCACAAUCUUGGCUCACUGCAACCUCCGCCUCCCAGGUUCAAGUAAUUCGCCUGCCUCAGCCUCCUAAGUAGCUGGGACUACAAGUGCAUGCCACCACACCCAGCUAAUUUUUUUUGUAUUUAGUAGAGACAGAGUUUCACCAUGUUGGCCAGGAUGGUCUCAAUCUCUUGACCUCAUAAUCCGCCUGCCUUGGCCUCCCAAAGUGCUGGGAUUACAGGCUGAGCCACCGUGCCUGGCCUCCAAGCUAUGUAUAUUUAAAAGACUGUAUGCUUUUUCUAUUUUGGGAUCUUGGGUUUUUGGAAGAUAAAGUGGGUUUCUUUGGGUGUUUCUUCUAAGUUGACUAUAUUAUUUCUCCAGAACAAUUUUCUGUGGAUGACAGAAGUUGUAGGACAGCCACAGUUGACACAAUUAAUAAGGAAAUUGUUGUCUUGUUGUAAUCCUUUUCAAAAGGUGGUUUACAAUCAGCUAUAGGACUCUGAUGAGUAUUGAUAAAUGCAGGUCUCUGACAGCUUUAAAAAUUGUGCCAUUGAGCCAGGUGUGGUGGCUCAUGCCUGGAUUCUCAGCACUUUGAAAGUCCAAGGCAGGCAGAUCGCUUGAGCUUAAGAGUUCCAGACCAGCCUCGGCAACAUGGUGAAACCCUGUCUCCACAAAAAAUACAAAAAUUAAUCACAUGUGGUGGCAUGUGCCUGUAGUCCCAACUACUCAGGAGGAUGAUAUGUGAGGAUCACUUGAGCCUGGAAUGCAGAAGUUGCAGUGAGCUGAGAUUACACCACUGCACUUGAGCCUGGGCAACAUGAGUGAGACCCUGUCUCCAACAAAAAAAGAAAAAGAAAGAAAAAAUUAAAUUAAAUUAAAAAAUGGUACUGUUAAAACAGAAGAAAAAACUUCCAAGACUGUUGUAGAAAGCUAAUAUAUUCAUAGACUAUGGCUCAAUAUCUAUGCUAUAAAGAGUUAAUAGCAUAGACUAAACUAAUAAAAAUGUAAUCUUUUUGUGAUUUUUUGCUUUGAAUGUUUCUGAUUCCUUCUGUUGUUUUUCAGAGUCAAGAAAACUUGUUUUUCUUCUGAACUAUUUACAGCUCUUAGCACUUGAAUAAAGUAUAGUCCUGUAAGCAAAAUUUGGAGCAUAUUUCUUUCUGUCUACCUGAUUUAUUUAGAAUUUGGAAACUAUUUCUGAGUACUCUUAGCUUAUGGCAAUAUAGUUAUUUGCACAAGUACAAUAGAAAUCUGUUUUAUUUUGUAAUAAAACACAGUUAGAGACAUUGGUUAUUUUACCAAGGCUUUGACUGGAAUGGCAUGGUUUUAACUAUAAACAAAUUGCUUUAUGCAAUCAAAGUUGACAUCUAAGGCCAAUAAAAGCCAUUUAGAAAAACUGGCCACAUGCCUUAUCUAUUCAGUACCUGUACAGGGUUCCUGGACCUGUGGUAAAUAAAGAAUGUCACUUUCUGACAGGCCCAGGAGCCUCCAUUUAUCUUGGGACCUCAAGAGGAGAGGAAUUCACCCAACUCAUGCAGAUGCUUCCAAGCGCAGAUAAAUCUGAGGCUUCUACAGGACAGAUUUUCAUACUGUCACAGAGUAGCUACAAAGAUAGGAAAACCUGCCAAAAUUAUUAGAUCAGGGAGCAAGAGAUUAUCUAUGCCUCUAUGUGGCUGAGCUCAAAGAAAAAAGCAAUUUCUGUCAAAAUACAUUUAAAGAGGUUUAUCCUUAGCCAAUAUGAGUGACUGCAACCUGGGGUUACACAAUCUCAAGAGGUCCUGAGAAAGCAUGCCUAAAAUGGUGAGGUUACAGUUUGCUUUAUACAUUUCAGGGAGACAGGAAUUGCAUGUAAAGUCAUAAAUAAAUAUAUGGAUGGUACACAUUGGUUCAUUUCAAAAAGGCAGAACAUCUACAGGGGGAGAGGGGCAGUGCUUUCGAGUCACAGGUGGGUUUUGAGGAUUUUUAAAUUUUUUUUUAGAUGGAGUCUCACACUGUUGCCUGGGCUGGAGUCCAUUGGUGCAGUCUCAGCUCACUGCAGCCCCUGCCUCCCAAGUUAAAGUGAUUCUCCCGCCUCAGCCUCCUGAGUAGCUGGGAUUACAGGUGCCUGCCACCAUGCCCAGCUAAUUUUUUGUAUUUGUAGUAGAUACAGGGUUUCACUAUGUUUACCACGCUGGUCUUGAACUCCUGACCUCAUGAUCUGCCCACCUUGGCCUCCCAAAGUGCUGGGGUUACAGGCAUAAGCCACUGUGCCAGCCAGGGUAUUCUUUAGUGGACAGUUGGUUGAGAGAGUUAAGCUAUUAUCUAAAGACUUGAAGUCACUAGGAAGUAAUACCUGAGUUAAGGUAAGUGGGCUAUGGGGCCAAGGUUCUUGUUAUGUAGAUGAAGCCUCACAGGUGGCAUCCCUGAGAAAGGAUAAAUGGUGAAUAUCUCUUAUGAGACCUUAAAAUACAUCAGGCUCUCUUAAAUCUAGGAAAGGCCUAGAAAGGGAAGGCCUGGCUGCAUGAAUGGAGAUUCUCUACAGAUGCAAAUUUCCCACAAAAGAUGGUUUGCAGGGCCAUUUCAAAAUAUAGAAAAAAAAUUAUUUUCAGGUUAAAUACUUUUAUUUCCUUCAGGGUCUGCUCUCUGUCAUGUGAUGCUAUACCAGAGUCAGGUUGGAAAGUAAGUCACAUUGUACCAGAUUAAUACGAAUCUGCAUAACUAGAUGUUAUGGUUUGUAGGGCAUGACUCCUCAGGUCCCUCAGGUGAGAAUUUGGGCAAGAAAAAAAAAGACUUUAGUCCUGUUCAUGAAAAGAGUCAAGCUCUGUAAAGUAUUUAAAGAAUUUAUUCUGAGCCAAAUAUGAGUGACCAAUGGCCUGCGACACAGCCCCAGGAGAUCCUGAGAACAUGCGUCCAAGGUGGUUGGGAUGCAGUGUGGUAUUUUAUUUAUUUAAUUUGUAAAUUUUAUUAUUUAUUUCUUUUGAGAUGGAGUUUCACUCUUGCUGCCCAGACUGGAGUGCAAUGGCUCCAUCUCAGCUCACUGCAACCUCUGCCUCCUGGGUUCACACGAUUCUCCCACCUCAGCUUGCCAAGUAGCUGGAAUGACAGGCAGUUUUAAGCUUACGUAAAUUGAGCAGAAUGCAUACAGAGGUUCUAAGAAUUCUCAGACUGUGGUCACCCAGUUUUCUUAUUGUUAGCAUCUUGCAUUGGAGUGGUAUGUUCAUUAUAACGGACAAAUAAUAGUUGUUAUUAACUAAAAUCUAAAACCUACAUUAGGGUUCAGCUUUGCAUUGUGCACUCUAAGAGUUCUGAGAAACGCAUAAUGUCUCAUAUCCACCAUUAUGUGCCCUACAGAAUGUUCUGCAUAAAAAUCCCAUGUCUCACCAAUUUAUCCCUUCUCUCCAACACUGAUUUUAAGAAAGGAAACUCUGUUGAUGGAGGAACUGCUGAGGGAUUCACUGCAUCAGGUGAUUUAAGCUGCUCCAUGAUGCUCACACUAACUUGUUCACACACAGUGCCACUUGUAUUUUUGAUUUUGGGAUAAAUCCCAUAAUAUAAUGGUAAAUUUAUUAUCUUCUCCUCAAAAUCUGCAGUUCCAGUGGAAGUCCUUUUUACCACUGAUGUCUUCUUAGUGCAGGAGAGAGUCUACCCCCAGCCUGGCAGUGCUGCUCUGGGUGUUGGCUUUCUCAGCCUUGGGCCCCACACUGAGGUUACUGAAGACAGCCCCAAGGACUGAGUCAGGGAGACCCUGCCUUGGGACGUAGUUAGAGAGCCCACCCCAGACACAGCUCUGUGGAUUCCCAGUAGGCCCUCUCCUGGAGGAAGGAGGCCCUGCUACUCACUCAAAAAGCGGCAAUCAUUUCACUGGGGAGGGAAGAAAAUGCUCCCAGGGAUAGAGUUAGAUUUGCCAUAAAUAAGAUUAUGUGGCAGGAAGGAGAAAGCACCCAUCUCCUCCUUCAGCCCUCUAGUCUGCCAGAGAAGGAACGUUGUAUUGAGGUCACAAGAGGCUUGGAAGAGUCAUCAAAACUCAUUCCUCAGUAUCUCAGCUCUUUGUGGUCAGGGUCUGUGAGGUCUCAGCAUCUGCCUCUCUCAAGGUUUCUCUUAAGGGACAGCAGGGUGAAAACUGCCACAGGAAGGGUAGGGAAGCUGAUUUGCAGAAAGAAGGUUUUCCCCUGUUGGGUCUGGAGAGACAUGAAAAGGCCCUGAGGACAAGAAACCCCAGUGAAGAAGCCUGAGGCCACCUAGCUCUUGUGACUGUACCCACCAUGGCCUGCACGAUGCUUCUCCUUGGGCUCCUUGCUUAUGGGUCAGGUCAGGGGAAGGGACUCUGCAUCCCUGGAGGGACCACACAAGCAGGGUCCAGGUUACCCUCAUCCCUGUGACCAUAACUAUGUGUCUCCUGUUGGUUUUAGGAGUAGAUUCUGUCUGUGGUGACCCAGGAGCCAUCACUCUCAGGGUCUACUGGAGGGAUGGUCACACUCACCUGUGGCCUGAGCUCCGGCUCAGUCCCUACCAGUCACUACCCCAGCUGGUACCAGCAGACCCCAGGCCAGGCUCCACACAUGCUCAUCUGCAGCCCAAACACCUGCCAUUCUGGGGUCCCUGUUCACUUUUCUGGCUCCAUUCUUGGGAGCAAAGUUGCCCUCCGUCACGGGGACUCUGUAGAUGAUGACUCUGAUCAUUACUGUGUGCCACACAUGGGUAGUGGCAACUCCACAGUGAUUUAAACUUAUGAGCAGGUGUAACUAAAACCUCUUUACAACUUAGAAUGAUUCAGCCCUUAGAGGCAGGAGAGAAGGUGAAAGGGUGGGAAUAUCAACACCAUGAGCAGGGUGCCUCCUUACCCCAGUCUCCUGUGCAGGGGUUCACUGCCAGGUGCUUCAUCCAGUCUCUCCCAGGAUGUGUCCACCUCCCCAGCUCACAUGGCUCUAUCUACCCUAGAUACCGAUGGCCAUCACAGUCACCACUGAGCCACGCAGGGGGGCCUCCAAUGCCUGGGUUUCACAGUGCUGCUGCCAGACCACCUACAUGUGAGAAUGGCUGACAAGCAGGAAGCCUUGGUAAUGUCAUCCUUGACCCAGCCAAGGCCACAGUCUCAGGCUCUGGCAUCUGCUCCCCACUUCCACCCCUAGGAGUGUGGGCCAUGGAUGCUGCCCCAACCUGUAAUAUCACCUCACCCAGGAAGGCAGAGGUUAGGUGCAGGGACACCAGUGGUCCAUGCCAUUAGGGGGACUUCUAAUGAAUUUGCAGUAAAAUAUUUUAUCUUCUAGGUAGAAUAUGUGACAUUCUUAAACAAAUGAAUCUUCAUUUUGAAAUAUCCUUAUUCUUUUUGUUGAUUCUGCUAUUAAGUUUUGACAGUAUUCCCAGCUAAAUUUGUUCUCAACAGCUUUGUCAGCAGCCAUCAUGGGUGGUUCUAGAUUAAUAUAGAAGUAGUCCUAUUAUCUCACCUUGAGGACUAAUGCUUUUAUUUAUUCCUUAUUUUUUUUAAUGGCUCGUGGUUCUGGAUGCCUCCUUCCUCCAUUUGAGCAGCAUCGCAGACAAAAAAAAAAAGGCUGCUGGACACCUCCUUUCCAGUGGUCCACAUGACUGUGGAUGAAGGCAUAAGACAGUAAAGUCUUGGACAAACGUAAAUCAGUUAUGAGGCUAAACACUGAUCCAGAACUAUUUGAGGGUUACUUAUGUUGAUAUGUUCAAUAUCACAUUCCUUCCCAGAGGCCUUAUCAAAGGGACAUGGAUGAAUCUGGAGAACGUCAUCCUCAGCAAACUGACACAAGAACAGAAAAUGAAACACCGCAUAUUCUCACUCAUAGGUGGGUGAUGAGAAAUGAGAACACAUGGACACAGAAAGGGGAGUACUAAACACUGGGGUCUAUUGGGGGGAAAAGGGGAGGG